AGGAUCUAUUCCUACAGUCCGUCAUCCACUCACUGCAGUAAGUACAUGCUUGAUAUUUAUAAUGUUUUAAAAUGUUAGUUUGUCCGUUUAAAUGUAGUAACCUAUGUGUGGGGCAAGUUACUAGCUAGCUAUGCUAACGGCUACAGCCAGUCGACCGAGCCUUUGUCCCCUUCAAAUGUGCUCAUGUGGGCUCCUGCAGCCACACACCUGUGUGGAGAAAAGCUAAUGGCUAACGGCAUCGAGCGGCUACAGGCAGGGAGCGGUGGGUCUAGCGUCUGUCCUUUUUCUGUAACCUCAUACACCUGCGGGGAACAGCUGAUCGUUAUCGCCCUUCCAGCGGCGACAGGCAGGAAGCGGUGGAUCUAGCUCGCUGUAGUAAGUUUGUGCUUGAUACUUGUGAUAUCUAAAUAUGUUAGUUGGGUCUGUUUAAAAUGCAGUAACCCACGUGUGAGACAAGCUAAUCGCUAGCGUCGCUAACGGCUACAGUGAGUCAACCGAGCCUUUGUCCCUUUCAAAUGUGCUACUCUGAGUUGGUGCAAUCACACACCUGUGUGGGGAACAGCUAAUAGCGAUGGGCCUUCGAUCGGCGACAGGCAGGAAGCGGUGGAUCGAGCUUUUGUCCUGUUGACGUGCUGCCGCUCCUGUUUGUGUUGCGUUAGCCGUUAGCAUGUCUUUGGGCCUUUGCACUUUAGAGCUACAGCUGGUCGAUCGCUACAAAAAGAACCUGCAGAUGAACGCGGUUGUGUUUGUUAUUACCCCGUCCUGUGUCAGAGCCUAAAUCAACUUGUGAUUUGGGGUUAUGUCAUUGUUCUAUCAAAUUCUAACAUGAUUAGUUGGAAUGAUUACGGUUGUGUUGCAAGCUUAGUUGCUAAUUAGUCACAUCUCUACAAUAACUGCUGCUUAUCUGGUCAGUAACCUACAGCUUGUACCAUAGCCAUUAUAUUUGUAGGACCAAUACAAUUUACAGUAAAUGUAACAGUCUUUUCUAUACUGUAGGGAGCCACAUCCCAGUUACCUACAUGCAAGGAGGCUGUGAAACAGAAAUCACUGCAGACUGUUGGUACACGGACAUCUGCUGCCCAGCUCAGGAGUGAAGUACCUUUUUGUUUUGAUGAGGCGAUGGUGAGGACAGCCACAGCUUCCAUCUGGUAGAGGACUGCUUCCGCUCAGUCUUCCAAAUAGUGAUGAGAACAAGGAUCAUCACAUCUCCCUGUUUACCCUACUUUCAUGCAUUUCGUCUGCAAGGCCCUGCAAAAGCUUCUGUCCUCAAACCCCCAGACUUCUUAAUUAACUCAGUAACCUAUACAUUGCACAUUGGAGUGUGAAGGUAACAGUUUGUUCUAGCUUUGGAGUAGUGGUGCAUUUUUUUGGUUUACAAUAAAGUUGGCUUUAACUAUUA